CGCGGGGUAGCUCAGUUGGUUAGAGCGCUGGACUCAUAAUCCAGAGGUCGUCGGUUCAAGUCCGAUCCCCGCAA
rnacentral:tRNA from 1 species